rnacentral:rRNA from 1 species
UACGUAGGGUGCAAGCGUUAAUCGGAAUUACUGGGCGUAAAGGGUGAGCAGGCGGACAGGCAAGUCACAUGUGAAAUACCGGGGCCCAACCCCGGAACUGCAUGGGAAACUACCGGUCUUGAGUACAGGAGAGGCAGGCGGAAUUCCUAGUGUAGCGGUGAAAUGCGUAGAUAUUAGGAAGAACACCAGUGGCGAAGGCGGCCUGCUGGACUGAAACUGACGCUGAGUCACGAAAGCGUGGGGAGCGAAC